rnacentral:rRNA from 1 species
GACGAACGCUGGCGGCGUGCUUAACACAUGCAAGUCGAACGGAAAGGCCCUGCUUUUGUGGGGUGCUCGAGUGGCGAACGGGUGUGUAACACGUGAGUAACCUGCCCUUGACUUUGGGAUAACUUCAGGAAACUGGGGCUAAUACCGGAGAGGAGCUCCUGCUGCAUGGUGGGGGUUGGAAAGUUUCGGCGGUUGGGGAUGGACUCGCGGCUUAUCAGCUGGUUGGUGGGGUAGGGGCUUACCAAGGCUUGGACGGGUAGCCGGCCUGAGAGGGGGACCGGCCACAUUGGGACUGAGAUAGGGCCCAGACUCCUACGGGAGGCAGCAGUGGGGAAUAUGGCACAAUGGGCGGAAGCCGGAUGCAGCAACGCCGCGUGCGGGAGGACGGCUUUCGGUUGGUAAACCGCUUUGGCAGGUGACGAAGCGUGAGUGACGGUACUGGGUAAAGAAGCACCGGCUAACUACGUG